UGCUCAAUGGUGUAACGGUAGCACAAACGACUCUGACUCGUUUUGUCCAGGUUCAAAUCCUGGUUGAGCAACCA
rnacentral:tRNA from 1 species